rnacentral:rRNA from 1 species
CCCUUAGAUGUUCUGGGCUGCACGCGCGCUACACUGAAGCUAUCAACACGUUUUCCCUCCCUGAGAAGGGCGGGUAACCUUUUGAAUCAGCUUCGUGGUAGGGAUCGGGGCUUGCAAUUGUUCCCCGUGAACCAGGAAUUCCUAGUAGACGCGAGUCAUAAGCUCGCAUCGAUUAAGUCCCUGCCCUUUGUACACACCGCCCGUCGCUACUACCGAUUGAACGUUUUAGUGAGGCAUUUGGACCGACGCAGCUCAGUUUAACCGCUGGUUUGUGUUGGAAAGACUUCCAAACUUGAGCGUUUAGAGGAAGUAAAAGUCGUAACA